GAUGAAGAACGCAGCGAAAUGCGAUAAGUAAUGUGAAUUGCAGAAUUCAGUGAAUCAUCGAAUCUUUGAACGCACAUUGCGCCCGCCAGUAUUCUGGCGGGCAUGCCUGUCCGAGCGUCAUUUCAACCCUCGAACCCCUCCGGGGGGUCGGCGUUGGGGAUCGGCCCUUUACGGGGCCGGCCCCGAAAUACAGUGGCGGUCUCGCCGCAGCCUCUCCUGCGCAGUAGUUUGCACACUCGCAUCGGGAGCGCGGCGCGUCCACAGCCGUUAAACACCCCAAACUUCUGAAAUGUUGACCUCGGAUCAGGUAGGAAUACCCGCUGAACUUAAGCAUAUCAUAAGCGGAGGA
rnacentral:misc_RNA from 1 species